UUAUUUCGGCGAUAUAUAUACUUAAAUUGGAACGAUACAGGGAAGAUUAGCAUGACCCCUGCGCAAGGAUGACACGCAAAUUAGCGAAUCGUUCCAUGUUUUA